UUAUCUCUUCUUAAGAACUAGCCUUCAACAUGCCAACAUUUCACCUAACUACUAAUUAUGGCGGAAUCACUGCUGUCUUAGGGUGGAAAAGUCUAAUUUCUUACAAAGUAAAAAUUGUUACAAAAAUAAACAUAAAGCAAUAAAAAGAUAAUAAAUAUUUUUGAGACGGAUUAUGGGACACAAGAUAGAAUUUAUUUAUUCAGACAUGAGUACAAAUACUAAACUUAGAGUCUCACUCUCAGGUAAAUAGCUAUUUAUACUUAUAAUUAUAGCAUAAAUACUUACUUGUAAAUAAGCACUCCACACCAGAUGAUUAUAGCACACCACACAAUAAUCACUCUAUUAUUCACACUAUACUAGAAGACUGUAUUCUGGCUAUCUUACUUCUUGAGAAAGGUUGAGAGAAUUUCGAACUUCUAUCUCAAGUUUCUGAUCGAUGCCUUCCUUGUUACAUCCCGACCCUUAUAUUUUUACCUAAUUUACUAGCUUGAUUAUAAUAAGAAUUUUACCGUCUCCGUCAUUGAAUUAAUAGUUUAUUUGGUCCCUAGAGGGGUUUCGGGGACGAUUAUGUGCGGAGAAUUAUUCGUAGGAGGAAAAUUCGACGACGGUAAAAAUGGUAAAUUUUAGCUAGUAAAAGGUAAUUUUUAUUCGGGUAUUAUUUUUUCCGGGUGUUUUAUUUAUGGAUUUGGGUUGUAUAAGUGUGGAUCGGGCCAAGGAGUGGCAAAAAGCCCAAAUCAUUUCUCUUCUCUCUCCUCCCUCCCGAUUCUCUCUCCCUCUCCCUCCGCCGGAUUUUCUUCCCGCUCGUCCGCCGCCGUCCGGCCGCCUGGGACUGCCGCACCGGUCAUGUUCAGUCGGCCGUCGACCCA
rnacentral:lncRNA from 1 species